ensembl:lncRNA
ACCCUUUUUGGCAGACUUAUUUGUGAUGACUAAUAUUCAAACUGUUUUGAAAUCUGUCAGAUAAUGCUUGCAAGCAUUUUACCAAGCUUUGCUAGCAGGUUCAACCUUUAUAAUUUUGCAAACCCACAAAGUUAGCCUUGAGUUAUUAGAUUUACAAGAUACCCAAGUUCAAAACUUGACAAUUUCGUAACUUUUUAAAAAUUUUCUGUCAUCAUUUAAUUGCUUUGGCUACUUUUAAUAAUGAUGAUUAUUCCAUCUGGGCAGAAUUAACUUUCUUUGGUUGUCUUAUUACAACAUCCAGUUUCACUCUCUUACUCAAUGAAGCAACUCAGUGAGAGGAUUAAAGGCUUAUGGAAUGUUUUGAUUGGCUAAUACACUGUUUUAGAAAAUCCUAAACUUGAUGUAAACAUAUGAAAAAAGGAUAUCAUUUAAUAUUCUUCUGUGCCAAGAAAAAUGAGAAAGUGAACUAGGAGCACAUAUUAAUUUGGUAUCUACUAUGAACCUGGCUUCCCUGGUGGCUCAGACUGACAAGAAUCUGCCUGCAACUUGGGAGACCGGGGUUUGAACCUUGGGUUGGGAAGAUCUCCUGGAGAAGGGAACGGCUACCCACUUCAGUAUUCUUACCUGGAGAAUUCCGUGGACAGAGGAGCCUGGCAGGCUAUAGUCCAUGGGGUCGCAAAGAGUCCACAUGGCUGAGCAACUUUCAUACACAUAUUCAUGAUCCAGGAAGAGCUUCCCAGGUGGUGCUAGUGGUAAAGAACCAUCCUGACAAUGCAGGAGAUAUCUUAACACCUGUUGGCCACUGAGUCAGAGGUUCUUGCUGCAAGGUGCAACAUGCUGGUAAGAGGAAGAAAGUAAAGAGAAAAGCCGGAUGGUCCAGUUUAUGCAGUGAAUAUGCCCUGCCUCAGCUUGUCCAUCCAGUCCCAUGGAAGGAAAAACUUAAUGAGGCCUCCAAGCCAAUAACCUUGUAUAGCAGAGUAACCUCACCUAUUAGUGAAUCUGACCAGUUAGAACCCAGAGAAUGUGUUCCAUAAUCUAGCCAAUCACUUGAGGGU